rnacentral:rRNA from 1 species
UGGGGAAUAUUGCACAAUGGGGGGAACCCUGAUGCAGCAACGCCGCGUGAGUGAAGAAGUAUUUCGGUAUGUAAAGCUCUAUCAGCAGGGAAGAAAAUGACGGUACCUGACUAAGAAGCUCCGGCUAAAUACGUGCCAGCAGCCGCGGUAAUACGUAUGGAGCAAGCGUUAUCCGGAUUUACUGGGUGUAAAGGGAGCGUAGGCGGUCCGGCAAGUCAGAUGUGAAAGCCCGGGGCUUAACCCCGGGACUGCAUUUGAAACUGCCAGGCUGGAGUGUCGGAGAGGUAAGUGGAAUUCCUAGUGUAGCGGUGAAAUGCGUAGAUAUUAGGAGGAACACCAGUGGCGAAGGCGGCUUACUGGACGAUUACUGACGCUGAGGCUCGAAAGCGUGGGGAGCAAACAGG